UCAUUAAAUGCAUAGAGGUGUUACCAAAUACUUGAAAAUUUUCUUUUCCCUGGAAUCUUCACAGGUGGUGUGAGGGUGUAUAAUAAAGCAUGGGGAGGACGCUUUGAGAAUUAUUAUUCAAGGCAUUGUGUCACUCAUAUCAUAUGCAGUAACCUUCCGGACAGUACAAUCAGGAACACGAGUUUUAGGUACAUAAGUUCUAGUGUUAAUGUUUCUACUUGAAGAACAUCUAUAAUCCAUGUGGACAUGAUCAUCAUAUAGUGGCGAUGGAGAGAUUGACUGGUUUCUUCUCUAGGUGUCCCUUUUGUCCCCACAUUUUUGGCUUAUAAGAAUUGUUACUAUGGUUUGAAGUGAGAACAAGGACCAUGCUAGGUUUAAUUUUCAGUAUAUUAAUUUUAUUGUACUAUCAUUUGAUUCACUCCCCAACUUUGUGCAAAAAGGGUUAGAUGCUUGAAUAAUUCAUAUCUCUGUUUGUCUACCUAGAUGUUUGUUUCCUGUGUGUUUACUUCAAAGAUGAUAAUGUAGAAAUUUAGAGUUUUCUGCAAAUAGUUUUGGUACAAGGACCAGCUAAAUAGCGUUGUAUAUUAUUAUUUUUUUUUUUUGGUAAAUGCAGUUACAAUCAAAGGCUCCUCUUUGGCUAUCUCAAGUAUGCCUAAGUUUAUGGGAAUUCUUCUUGGUACUUUUUUUGCCAUGUGUUGACUCUACGUACAUAAAUUUCUUGGAAAUCACCAACCAUUGUUUCUGGAUCUUAACUUGGAUUGUAGGAUCAAUAUUAUCCUACUUUUCAUUUUCAUGGAAUCUGUUCAGAUUGCACACUGUAUCAUGUUUUGGUAGGACCAAUAUAAGAUCACAUGAUUGGAUCUGAAUCAUUUCUACGUGAUCCUACUUAACUCAUAUUUUGGGAUAAAAUGUGCCCUUUUUACUGCAUUUCUUGUGG